AAAGGCAAGUAAUGGCUGACUUUGACUAGAGCAGUUGCCUGGAGUUGGUGGGCCUGAGAGCCUGAAUGGACUGAGUCAGGGGAUAGUGGAAGUCGAGGAAGCGGAACUGGUGAAAGAAGUGUGCCCAGCGCUUUCUAGCUGCAGAGUGGAGCAGAGCAGAGGCAGUACUUAAGAGGACAGUGGGACAAAAGAGGGGUUGUUUUUUUUUUAUUUUUAAAAUUUAUUUGACAGAGAGAGAGCACAAGCAGGGAGAGCAGCAGGCAGAGGGAGACGCAGGCCCCCCACUGAGCAAGGAGCCCAACGUGGGACUAGAUCCAAGAACCCUGGGAUCACGACCUGAGUUGAAGACACUUAACUGACUGAGCCACCCAGGUGACCCGAGAGAGACUUUUUUUUAAGGUGUGAAAAAUCGGAUCAUGACUGUGGGCUGAAGAGAAUGUUCAGUAGGUAGAGGGAACUUCUGGAGACACAGCCUUGUCCUUGAGUAGGUGAGGGGGGAGGGGGUGAGAGAGCCUGUGGAAGGGCUGUUGGGAGCCCACAGGAUUCCUCUGGAGCAGCCCAAGGGAGACGCUGGUGGUGGGGCGACAUGACGGCCUGCGUGUGUGGACGUCCCCUUCUGGUUGUUACUGCUUGCUUGCUUGCUUUCUAUUUAGUUAUUUAGAUUCGAUUAUUCAAUAUAAAGCACAUCAUUAGGGGGCGCCUGGGUGGCUCAGUGGGUUAAAGCCUCUGCCUUCGGCUCAGGUCAUGAUCCCAGAGUCCUGGGAUCGAGCCCCGCAUCGGGCUCUCUGCUCAGCAGGGAGCCUGCUUCCCACCCCACCCCCCUACCCCCGCCUGCCUCUCUGCCUGCUUGUGAUCUCUGUCUGUCAGAUAAAUAAAUUAAAAAAAAAAAACAAAAAACACAUCAUUAGUUUUCAUGGAGUGUUCGAUGAUUCAUUAGAUGCAUAUAACACCCACUGCCCAUCACAUCACGGGCCCUCCCUAAUGCUACUACUUUCUGAGUGAAAUAAGCAAGAUCAUCCAUUUUGGGUGAAGAUGCGGACAAGACGCUAGAAGACUGACGUGUGGAAGAGGGUAUGAAAGAGUUGUCGGGGAGCGUGGGAGAGUGAGUGAAGCAGGGAAAUGGAUGACAGCUUUACAGCAGGACUAAUCGCUCACGUGAAGGCAGUCCAUAGUAAGUUUAGAGUUAGACCACUGCACAUAGUGCUUUUUUUUUCUUAAGACACAUUCAUCUAUGAAGAUCUGGGCACAGACUAGGCUGAGAUUUGUAUCUAACUAGUAUUGGAGUUUUGCCAAGUGACAGUAACCCUGUUUUCUUUAGUGUGUGUUGUACAAAUCUUUCCUGGUUUGUGAUUUGCCUUCUCCUUUUGUCUCUCUAUAUUUCUUUGAACUAUAGUAACUUUUUAUAUGGUCAAAUCUGUUGUCUUUUUCCUAUGGCUUCUUCCAUUGUUUUUUUUUUUUUCCUUGAGGGAGCCUUUCCUCAAGAAGGGAUGAUAUAAUCUUUCUUUUAUACCUUCUCCAAUUUUUUAUGAUUGAAUUUUGAACUCUUUAAUCUAUCUGUAUAUAUGCUGUGAUGCAAAGUUCUAAUAAAAUUGUCAUCAAAAUAUCCUUCCUCUCCACAUUAAUUAUUAAAGAAGCAAUUCAUUAUCCUUAAGUUUAUAAUUUCUUUAAAAUAUGUUACCUUAUUAUCUUUCUAUAUUUUGUAAGUUCUCAUUCCAGGUUAUCACGUUUUUUUAAAGAUUUUAUUUAUUUUUUAAUAGAAAGAGACACAGAGAGGGAACACAAGCAGGGGCAGAGGCAGAGGGAGAAGCAGGAAGCCCAAUGCGGGGCUGGAUCCCAGGACCCUGGGGUCAUGACCGGAGCUGAAACUGAGCCACCCUGGUGCCUCGGGUUAUCACUUCGGAGUCACCAAUUCACCUGUAUAAAGCUGUAACAAUGGUAUAUUUAUAAUUCUUCAGCAUCUGAUAAGGCAAGUAACAGCCUCCAGCCUCUUUUUGGUAAAUAGUCUUUAACCCUUCUUACUUAUUUUUCUAGAGAAUUUUGUCAUGAUUCAAAAACAGACUCCUCUUAGGGUUUGUUUGGAAUCAAAAGAAGCCCGAAAUCUUAAUUUGGGAAAUACCACUUUCUUUAUGAUAUUUAAGUUCCCCAUUCAGGAACCAUGCUCUGAUCAUCUAUUCUGGUCUUUUAAAUUGUACUGGGUUGAUUACUCAUUCAUGUUUUUAUACACUUCAAAUCUCCCUGAAAUAUAGUUUUACUUUGAUUUUGAUUUUGCUAGAGUAAUUUUUCAAGUAAUUCCUCAAGUAAAUUCCCCAAAAAGAAAAGCAGAAGAUAACUUUCUGAUAGUUUACACAACCAAAGAAUUUCUUUUUCUCACAUACAUAUGACAUUUGGGGCAGGUAUAGAAUCUUCAGAUUGUAAUUUUUCCUCUUAAUAUUUAUCGCCGGGUCCAAUGGAUAGAAUAUUCCUUGAAACAGUACUAUUGAAGGAAAAAAGUGGAAAACGACCUAAAGGUCAAAAAAGAAGAGAUUUAUUAAAUAAGUUAGGACGAAUUAGUAGGAAAAUCUAUCACCUAUUUUUUAAAAUGAGGUAAAUAUAUGCACGUGAUAAAAAAAGAUUAUGUGGGGAAAAUGGGAGACUGCAUAACUAUGUACACUAUGAUUAGAUUUUUGAGAAUAAAACCCUAGCUGGAUAUAUAUUGGUGUAUCUAUUUUCAUGUCUAUUUAUCUGGAAGAACGCACAUCAGGUAUUAACAAAUCACAAUGGAUAUUAAAAUUAAUGUGUGUGGGAAGAACCUCCACUUUUUAUUUUAUAUACCCAGUUAUUUGAAGUUUUAAAAUUAUAUAUCAUUCUUAACCAACAGGUGUACAAUUUUGUCCGGCCAAUAUGCACACUUACUUCACCUUUUUCCACCCCUAAACUGGCAGCCACACUCCCUCCUACCAAUGCUGGGUUAGGUGCCUCUUCCAGGUGUUCCCAAUGACACACGACACUUAUUUGAAUUAUAAUACUUUUCACUUCUUUUAUAAUCGCCAAUUUAUUUAUCUCUUCUUUCCAGGUAGACUGAAGAGUCGGGUACUUUCCCUAUUUCAUCAUUUUUGGUGAUAGAUACCUUAUGAAGUAAUUGUUUAAUAAGUGUUUGUUCAAAGUGUCUAUGAUUCAAAGGAGAAGGUGUUAUUACCUAGUUAUUACCUAGUUCUCUGGAAACUAGAAGGGCAGCGUUGGGAAGGUAGAAAAGGGAAGCGAUAGAGGAGGUGAAGAGUCCUGGGGAAAAGCAGCCAGUCCCCUGUGCGAGUGAUUCCCGUCACGGCCACCUAAGCCGCCAGAGCGAACGAGGUGGAGACUUAGGGGAAAAGCCAUGCAAGAGCGCCGAGAAGGCGACCAGCCUCCUUCACUGGGGGAUUCCACACCUCGACAGGAGCGGGUGAUGUCAAUGUCUUUCUCCGGCGACCCAGUGGUCACAUACCCCAUGCGGGCAGGAUACAGAGGAGCAGCAGGAAACCUCUGAAGAGAACGUUCAAACGCAACUAAGAUAAAAGCAAGAGAAAGCAGCGCUUGCGUAACAGGGAGAAGACUAAGCUGUCCCAAAAAUGAAACCAAAGAGUAUGCAUCUACAUGCAGAGGCUUAAGUAACAGCGAAGUCCAUAUCCUUCUCAUGUUACAGGAAGGUGUGCAACCCCGCUUGGCAGGAAAGCCACCCCAGGAUCACCUCCCUUCCAUGUGUUAUUGCUCCGCUAUUACCUGAGGUGACCGCUCCAUCGUCGUGGUCAGAGAUGGACUGUGGGCACACUCGGUCUUCCGACCUAUGCAAAAGGAAGAGAGGAACUCGAGGCAAGUGGCUUAUCUUUUAAGAGAGAAGUGACCCAGAAAUAACACAGUACUUCAGCUUGCAUCCCAUCAGCUAAAAUGUAGCCACAUAAUCCUAUGUAGCUGCGGAAAGAGAAUAAGGAUGUGGUCUCUGGCCGAGCAGCUGCGCAUUCCGCGUCGUCGGUUUCUGCAGAAGACAGAAAGUACAGACUUUAGAGAAAAAUUAGGACUUUUGCCGCAUAAAUCCGAUAUGGUGCUCAUAACCGACCCGAGACAAGUGAAACGCCAUCAAAUGCUGGUUUAAGACAACUAAUGGACUAAUGUUGACAGUACUACAUCAGUAUCAGUAUUCUCAUUCUCCAGUUCAUGUAUGUGUGCUUGUUGAGAUUUUACUGAUUCUUGCCAUUCUGACGUGGGACCAGAGCUCCAUCAGACCACCAAGCACAGAGGCUCCGCGGAGAGGCCAGGAUAGGAUUGUUCUUAUAGCCUGUUUUUCCUUCAACAGGAAGAGGAGAGCUCGUCCACAGGAGUCGGAAAGCGAAGCGGCGUCACGGGUUCUCAAGAUCACACCGUCAAGAUCUCAAGACGAAGAGUCUCCAGGACGUCUCAGGACCGGCGCGGUCCCACUUGUGGCUGAGAUACCAACGGACACAGAGCAAACCCACAAAGGGGGGGGAAAGCUCAUAAGGCAAAGUCUGGAGAAACAAUGUACGAGCUUCCAAGAGUCUCGUCCCAGGGAAGUCCCACAAAGGGAGCUUAUUUCCUCCAGAAACCAGCUGUGACCACAGCUAUGACAUUCUGUCUCCCAGGGAGGCUUAUGCCCAGGGGUUUUUUCUGAGGGUCGGUCACACGGGUGUCCUCGUCCUGGCAUGUACCAGCUUCCUGGCUGCCAGAGGCGGGCACGUGUCCAGCACGAGCCAUGCUGUUGUACAAACAGCUCGGGCAGAGCGAGCUACUGCACCAUUGAACGAACGGGCGGAACCUUCCGGAAACCCAGGCUUUCAGAUGCUGGGCAAGGGCCAACCUCGCCAGCAGGGCUUUCUAAGAAGCGAAGUCCCGGGCCGGUUAUUAACUCUGUUCUGCACCGAAGCACACAGAGAUGCUCCAAGCCCCCUGGAGUAGGAGCCGCGAGACCACAGCGAGACGACGCCGGUUGCAUGAGCUCCUAGAGGCAAAGAGUAAACAAAAUUCCUGAGACAAACUGUCCCAUCUGUGGAAUGUGGAGUUUUAGUUUUAGACAAACUGAGAAGUAGCCAGCGGGCAGCAAUACAGGAGGAAGAAGCAGAAAGGAGAGAAACUGGGUCACGGGACUGGAAGAGUAACUCGUGCGGGAAGAGCAGGUGCCCGCCUGGGUGACCACAGCCGCACAGCGCUCUGGGGACGCUGGAAGGGCUCUGUGAUCCGGAGGACCGUGAACGGGGCUCUGCGCCUUCCUGACGCCUGAUCGUUCUGCCGAAAUGGUUUCCCAUUCUUGCCUCCUGAUGUCCGUUUGGAUCUUUGUAGUAAAUUCCAGUCGCCAGGAUCAGAGACGUUUCCUCCAGAAACCAGCUGUGCCGACAGGACCCCACCUGGGCUGGGCUCCUCGAAGUUCAGACACCUGGGUUUUCAGCCACUGGCAGCGCAGACUUAAGGAGGGAAACCCCUAUGGUGGCCGAGGGCUCAGCGGCCAGGUGGGUGAGGGACCAAGGCCCGCAGCACGGCGUGAAGGCCUCACCUUCCUCCGGGAGGCCUGUUCUCGUCAGAGCGAACCACACACAGCCAUACUCACACGCAAAGUGGACUUUUUAAACUUUUUAAAUGUUGAUCCUGCUUUUCACUCUGUUUAGAAUUUCAGGGCUUUUCAUCCUCAAAAAAUACCUAACCACGAAUGCUGUUUGCAUUAUCCCCGAGGUCUCCCCAACGCCUCCCUGACCGCACUGUCCCCCGGCCCGCCGCAGUGACUGCUUCCCUCUGCGCGGCUCUCUCAGCGACCGGACACAUUUCUGCUGUAACAAUCGUAAAACAUUUUAUAAUCGACUGUUUAGGCAUUUGUUCUGAAACAAAUUAUGUUCCUAGCAUAGUGCUUGACAAAGGGUAGUUCUUAAAUAAAUGUAUAUUUGGAGAACGAAUGAAUGAAUGAACGAACCAACCAAGAAACAAAUGCAGGGAGGCACAUUGUGAAGCGUCUGAUCCAGGAUUCAAGGCCAGAGCUCCUGCGCCAGGACACCCAGUUCUUAAUUUUCAUGCUUGAAACAAUAAUCUCUCUUAUUCACUGGGGGGUUUAUUAUUUUCUAAAAUUGUAUUGGUUUUAUGUUAUUUCUCUGAAGAUAUUAUGACUUUACAGAUGUUAAAUAACCAUCUUCGCAUUGAUUCUAAUGAUUUUCCUAGUGAAAAUAAAAUUCUUUUUUAUUUUCUAAUUAUGGGAGGACUUAAAUA